CUUCUUCUUCUUCUUCUCUUUCUUACUAUUGUACAAUAUUUAUAUUAUGAUUACUCAUGACCAUUAGGACUUAAGGACCUACAAUCUGCAUAUCAGUGUUUUAGAAAGAGCAAAGGCUACAGCUAGCACAUAAGACCCCUUAGGGCAAAUUAUAAAAGGGUAUGACCUUCGGAGCAGAAACAUUGCAAAAAAUAGUCUCCCCUUGGGGUAGAUUAAUUGGAAAAAGGCACCUCUUUGGAUAGGCCAGUCAUAAGAAAGUUUGCCUUUCUCUGCUGACCAUGGCACCCCUGAAUUAGUACACAAGGCUUGGUUACUAGUACAGUAUAGGCUAGAUUUCAUUUCCCCACACAUAGCUGUGUGGGGGGCAUAGGCUGCAGAACCAUAUUACCAAUUAUGGUGGCCUCUGCUGGUGCUAAUCACAAUGCCCAGAGACAAGGCCUCUGCCUUCUGGAGUGUCUCCCAAUUCCACGCACAGGUCUGAAAGGUCAGUUGAAACUCAGAGAGACUUUGCUAAAGUAGGCCUUCUAUGACAGCAGUCUUUGCUCCCCACUUUCCACUGCACCAAGAGACAGCCCUGAAUCCCUGAGUCCUAGCGGAGCCAACAUUGCAGAGCAGCCCAGAGAUCAUCCUUCUAACAACCAGGGAACUCUGGUUUUAAAGACUAGGCUCUCCUCACUUAGGCUUCUAAUAGAGUCACUCUCAGCACCAAGAAGAGAGUUUUUUUUGUUUUGUUUUGUUUGUUUUUUGAGACAGAGUCUCAAUCUGUCGCUCACGUUGGAGUGCAGUGGCGCGAUCUCAGCUCACUGCGAUCUCUGCCUCCCAGGUUCAAGCGAUUCUCCU
rnacentral:lncRNA from 10 species